CUCCCUUAGAUGAAUAAUUAGGGUAGUGUGAAAGAGUAAAGAUGGCAUUCUUUGGUCAUUUAGCCUCACAUUGUCUCAACCCCAUGACCCUUGACCCUUGACCCCAUGACCCUUAGGUGCUCACCCCCCUUUGAAAAAUCCUGG